rnacentral:sRNA from 1 species
UGCAUUAGAAAUAGUGAUGGUCAGUUU